rnacentral:rRNA from 1 species
UACGUAGGGACCAAGCGUUGUUCGGAUUUACUGGGCGUAAAGGGCGCGUAGGCGGCGUGGUAAGUCACUUGUGAAAUCUCCGAGCUUAACUCGGAACGGUCAAGUGAUACUGCUGUGCUAGAGUACAGAAGGGGCAAUCGGAAUUCUUGGUGUAGCGGUGAAAUGCGUAGAUAUCAAGAGGAACACCUGAGGUGAAGACGGGUUGCUGGGCUGAUACUGACGCUGAGGCGCGAAAGCGUGGGGGAGCGAACAGG